rnacentral:rRNA from 1 species
CGGGUCCUUUGGGCCCAACCUCCC